rnacentral:rRNA from 1 species
GACGAACGCUGGCGGCGUGCCUAAUACAUGCAAGUUGAGCGCUGAAGGUUGGUACUUGUACCAACUGGAUGAGCAGCGAACGGGUGAGUAACGCGUGGGGAAUCUGCCUUUGAGCGGGGGACAACAUUUGGAAACGAAUGCUAAUACCGCAUAAAAACUUUAAACACAAGUUUUAAGUUUGAAAGAUGCAAUUGCAUCACUCAAAGAUGAUCCCGCGUUGUAUUAGCUAGUUGGUGAGGUAAAGGCUCACCAAGGCGAGGAUACAUAGCCGACCAAAGAGGGGAAGCGGCCUAGUUGGGAUUGGGACACGGCCCAAACGCCUAGGGGUGGCACCCGUAGCGAAUCUUCGGCAAAGGACGAAAGGCGGACCGAGCAACGCCGCGUGAGUGAAGAAGGGUGUCGGAUCGUAAAACUCUGUUGGUAGAGAAGAACGUUGGUGGGAGUGGAAAGCGCAUCAAGUGACGGUAACUACCCAGAAAGGGACGGCUAACUACGUG